AUUGAACGCUGGCGGCAGGCCUAACACAUGCAAGUCGAGCGAGCGGCGGACGGGUGAGUAAUGUCUGGGAAACUGCCUGAUGGAGGGGGAUAACUACUGCAAACGGUAGCUAAUACCGCAUACCAUCAGAUGUGCCCAGAUGGGAUUAGCUAGUAUGUGGGGUAACGGCUCACCUAGGCGACGAUCCCUAGCUGGUCUGAGAGGAUGACCAGCCACACUGGAACGGAGACACGGCACAGACUCCAACGGGAGGCAGCAUAGGGGAAUAUGGCACAAUGGGCGCAAGCCUGAUGCAGCCACGCCGCGUGUGUGAAGAAGGCAGUAGGGUUGUAAAGCACUUUCAGAGGGGAGGCGUUACCCGCAGAAGAAGCACCGGCUAACUCCGUGCCAGCCGCCGCGGUAAUUC
rnacentral:rRNA from 1 species